rnacentral:rRNA from 1 species
GAUGAACGCUGGCGGCGUGCUUAAUACAUGCAAGUCGAGCGAACGGACGCGAAGCUUGCUUCUCGGAUGUUAGCGGCGGACGGGUGAGUAACACGUGGAUAACCCACCUAUAAGACUGGGAAAACUUCGGGAAACCGGAGCUAACACCGGAGAAUAUUUUGAACCGCAUGGUUCAAAAGUGAAAGACGGUCUUGCUGUCACUUAUAGAUGGAUCCGGGCUGCAUUAGCUGGUUGGGAAGGUCACGGGCUACCAAGGGAACGAUGCGUAGCCGACCUGAGAGGGGGAUCGGCCACACUGGAGCGUAGACACGCACCAGAGUCCUGCGGGAGGCAGCAGAAGGGAAUCUUCCGCAAUGGGCGAAAACCUGACGGAGCGACGCCGCGUGAGUGAUGGAGGCCUUCGGAGCGUAAAACUCUGUUAUUAGGGAAGAACAUAUUUGUACGUAACUGUACACAGCUUGACGGUACCUAGUCAGAAAGCCACGGCUAACUACGUG